rnacentral:rRNA from 1 species
GACAGAGGGUGCAAACGUUGCUCGGAAUUACUGGGCGUAAAGCGCACGUAGGCGGCUUUCUAAGUCGGGGGUGAAAUCCUGGAGCUCAACUCCAGAACUGCCUUCGAUACUGGAAGCUCGAGUCCGGGAGAGGUGAGUGGAACUGCGAGUGUAGAGGUGAAAUUCGUAGAUAUUCGCAAGAACACCAGUGGCGAAGGCGGCUCACUGGCCCGGUACUGACGCUGAGGUGC